ACAAGAGAAACCAAAACCCUCUCCUUCUCCUUUACCCCACUGACGGCUUCUAAGGCAAGAGACAAGUAAACUCCUUCCUCAUUUCUCUUCACCCGUCGAUCCCAAGGCACACGAAGGAGAGAAAACUUCUCAAGUCUCCUCCUUCACACGAGAGACCUUUCGGUUUUCCCCAAGCCGUAUUUGAGAUUUCGAAUUUCUCUUCCUUUUCUUGUUGCUGUGUACUUCUGUGGCUUCAAAAGAGAUCCAAACAGGAGUGUAAUUUCAAGAUUUAAAGACUACUUAUAAAGCCUCGAGGCAUGAACGAGGAGGCUGUGGAGCCGGGUGCUGCUGAGGAGGGAGGGGUUGAGGUUUAGAGGUCCCGGUUGGUUGGACUUUGGAGGACAAUGAUUAUGUUUUCUUUAUGUUUUUAUUUUGGGUCCCAUGUUGGGACGUUCUGUUGGUUGACUUUGAAACAAUAUGCCUUUGGGCAACGGUGUAAGUACUAUGGUAGGGUGUUGGUAAUGGUGUAUUUACUAUGGUGGGGUGAUGGUAACCCCACAUAGGAAAAUUAAAUGCCUUUUUAUAUGUGUUAUGGGGACUGAGUCCCCUCUUAAUUAGAACUAGUAUGUUUU